CAAUAGCGUAUAUUAAAGUUGUUGCAGUUAAAAAGCUCGUAGUUGGAUUUGUGGUGUACUUUGGCGGCCCGUCACUAUGUGGUGGAGCUUGCUGAAGUCGCCAUCCUUGGGUGGAUCCUGUGUGGCAUUAAGUUGUCGUGCAGGGGAUGCCCAUCGUUUACUGUGAGAAAAUUAGAGUGUUCAAAGCAGGCUUAUGCCGUUGAAUAUGUUAGCAUGGAAUAAUAAGAUAGGACCUUGGUACUAUUUUGUUGGUUUGCGCACCAAGGUAAUGAUUAAUAGGGACAGUUGGGGGUAUUCGUAUUUCAUUGUCAGAGGUGAAAUUCUUGGAUUUUUGAAAGACGAACUACUGCGAAAGCAUUUACCAAGGAUGUUUUCAUUAA
rnacentral:rRNA from 1 species